GGAACCAGGGAGGACAUGACCCUGUCCUGGGAGAGCAGGGGACUCCCUAGGGAACUGGAACAACGAGGGACCCCAGGACCAGCUCCCAACCCCUGGACCCUGGCUCUGAGCCUGCCCUUGAGCCAGCCCAGCAUCAGCCUUAACUGUGUGCUCAGCAACCAAGAACACCGGAAAACUGUCACCUUGGACCUUGGGGACAUUUGUGACCACGCAGAUCCACAGGGACAGGCUGAUGCCUCCCAACUACCCAGCAUCCUGGGGACUGUUGUGGUCCUGCUGCUGAUCCUGGGAGCUGGACUGUUCCUCUGGAGGACACGAGUGAAGAAGAGCCUGGAGCCUGGGAGAGGCAGGUUGCACUUCUCCUCCCCGGGCCCACACACCUCCCUCCCCUGGACCCUGGGCUCCCUUCCUCCUGCAUCUACUGCUCAGGGGAUGUCCCUGCAGGAGGCUGGUGGGGGCGGCCAUGCCCUUGGGGUCAUGGAGGGGAGGGUACAGGUUUCCAGGGCUCAGACUCCAGCUCCCUCUGUGUUUGACCCAGGUGCAGGGUCCCAGGACGAGCACAGGGACCCCGAUGGUGGCAUUCACUAUGCAGAGCUGAGCCAGCAGGGGUCUGGAGACAGCAGGGACCAGGUGAGGCUACAAAUGGGGGCAGCCUGGGUCCUCCCUCGUCCCUCUGUGCCUGGGUGUGUGCCU
rnacentral:lncRNA from 1 species